rnacentral:rRNA from 1 species
ACAGAGGGUGCGAGCGUUGUCCGGAAUUACUGGGCGUAAAGCGUGCGCAGGCGGUUCGUUGUGUCGGCGGUGAAAGCCCCGGGCUCAACCUGGGAAUGGCCGUUGAAACUGGCGAACUGGAGUGUGGCAGAGGGGGGUGGAAUUCCACGUGUAGCAGUGAAAUGCGUAGAGAUGUGGAGGAACACCGAUGGCGAAGGCAGCCCCCUGGGUUAACACUGACGCUCAGGCACGAAAGCGUGGGGAGCAAACAGGA